rnacentral:misc_RNA from 1 species
AGGACACUGGCCUUGACUACGCAUCAUGCGAGCGAAGAGGCGAGCACGACACAAUAGACCUGCCCCGUACGCUGCUCAAACAUUGCUGCAGGAGGCCCCUCGCUUGCGUCCGUGAGCGCAUGACAUCGCUUCUGCUGAAGAUUGUGCAACCAUGGAGAGAAGGAGUAUCUGCUGUGGCCAGACAGGCAAAGUGACGCCAUCCGAAUUAGCAGCCAGUAGGAACAUCAGCUGCAGAAACACAAGGUUGUGACUGACGUGGCUCCUCACGUAAUACUUCGUUUCGGCCACGUUUCUACACCCCUUAACAAAUAGGUAUUUCACCACCACCAUUCCCAGAAGACCGGCCUCUUCCUCCACCACAACGACCCCGGCAACAUAACGUCAAGACCCGCAACGUAAUGGCGCUGCACGUCCAAAAGGAAGAGAGAAAAAAAAAAUCCCCGUAUCCAGCGCUGUUAUGUUUCGCACCGUCCUCCAACUUGUCGAAGGGCACGGCACGACGCCGACAUUUUCGCGAUAUGACGAUUGUCCUGUCAUCGCCUCGCUACUGUGCCGGGAGGCGCUAACCGGAAAAACGCCGCACGCCGGGGUAGGCCCAUGGGAAAAUGCGAUCAUCUAUAUGAAGAAGGCAAAGAGCCGGAACCAAGCUCCGGUUCGUGCCAAGAUCUGACGAGGAUCAAGUAAGAAAGCAAGAGGCGAGACUUGGCGGGGGCGAUGCCGGCUCUGUGCAAAAGGAAGGGCGAGCCAUGGAGCCGCAUUUGAAAUGCGAAUUUUCUCUCCGGGACGCUCCGGCCAACCGAGAGGGGCAGACCAACCGAGAGAGGACCCCGCCGCCUAUAUAGAGAAUUGGGGAGAGGACACGUCUUCGUUUCUCCCAUCUUCCUCUUCUUCUUCUUCUUCUUCACUGUACAAGGGUUUCCUCUCAUAUUUCUUACACUCGCUGCUAUACUGUACACGCCCUCGUCUUCCGCUUACGUCUUUCUCUUCCUGUGACUCUAUUUCUCGUGAGACAUCCACCCUCCUUCUUUUCUUCAUUCCUUCUUGUCGACACAUCUCUGGCAUUUCGGAGCACUUCGCAUUUUGCUCGACAGUUUUCUGAUAUUGCGCGCUACCUCAACAUUGCUUCCGUCGGCCAUUAUACUUUCCUCCUUCUUUUUGGUUCCCUAUCUACAAGCCUUCUCACUCUUUUUAAUUCAUUCGUUUAUUUCUUUUCGUCUCUCCUCCCUGUGCAUCUCGGUCCGUUGAUUCCUUCAUUCAACCUCCCCCCCCCCUCCUUUUUUUUCUCAUUCCUCUCGUAGAAUGGGCAUGGGAGCUUGCGCACUGCUGCCUUUCCUAUUUUCAGUGCGCGUGCGUUUGAUCUCAGUACCGUGAAAGGAAAAAAAAGAAAAAAAGUUGAUUGCUUCUGCUCCGGAGGGAGGCGGGAUAGAAAAUAAAAGUUUGAAAGCGUUCCUUGUAUGGGGUGAAGACGGAGAGCGGUCGGCACGAGACGCAAUGACCAAGACGUGGACAAUUUCUUAUUUGUUUCCUCUUCCUAUACCCGGAAGCGAGCGAUAAAGGUUUUACUAGGGUACACGCGCUUCAACGCCGCAAAAAGAAAAAGGAAAGAUAAAGAAAAA